UUGAUUACGUCCCUGCCCUUUGUACACACCGCCCGUCGCUGCCCGGGACUGAGCCAUUUCGAGAAAUUUGGGGACCGUUGAUUUAGCCUUUUUUAAGUUACUUUGAUGGAAACCAACUUAAUCGCAGUGGCUUGAACCGGGCAAAAGUCGUAACAAGGUAGCUGUAGGUGAACCUGCUGCUGGAUCAUU
rnacentral:rRNA from 1 species